ACAUCCCUACAUAUGUACAAGCAUUAAUGUCAGUAUAUAUAUGAACUUUAAUCAUUUAUAUGAAAAGAAACUGAGAAAUAUAUUAAUGUAUAUGUGUGUUGAAGUCCAUAGCUUAUGUGUAUGAAAAUGCACGUAUAUGUUCAUGUAUUUCUCUAAGCAUAGCCAUUUAUGUGUGAGUGUGUGUGUGUGUUUGAGUGUAUAGUUUAUAUAUGUAAGUGUGUGUGUAUAUAUCUAUAUAUAUAUGUAUGUAUAUAUAUAUAUAUUUAUGUAUAUAUAUAUAUAUGCGUGUAUAUAUAUAUAUAUGUGUGUGUGUGUGUGUAUAUAUAUAUAUGUAUGUAUAUAUGUUUGUGUUUAUGUGUGUGAAUAUUUAUAUAUAUAUAUAUUCACACACAUAAACACAAACAUAUAUACAUACACACAUUCAUAUAUAAUAUAAGUUAUAUGAAACAGUAUUUCAUAUAUUUUUUAGUGUAAAUAAAUGUAAAAUUGACUAGAAAAUAUAUUUUUUCUACAUUUUUAUACUAUAUUCUAGGCAUCUAUGAUGCGUGUGUGUGUUUUUGCAUGUGCUGACAUGUUUAUAUAUGCUAUAUAUAUGCAUAUAUCUAUAUCUAUAUCUAUAUAUAUAUAUAUAUAUAUAUAUAUAUAUAUAUAUAUAUAUAUAUAUAUAUAUAUAUAUAUAUGCAUAUAUAUGUGUGUAUCUAUAUAUAUAUAUAUAUAUAUACAUGUUAUUUGUAAUUAUUAUUAUUAUUAUUAUUAUUAUUAGUAGUAGUAGUAGUAGUAGUAGUAGUAGUAGUAUUAGUAGUAGUAGUAGUAGUAGUAGUAGUAGUAGUAGUAGUAGUGGUAGUGGUAGUUGUGUGGUUGUUGUUGUUGCUGUUGCUUUUGUUGCUGUUAUUAAAUGAGAUUUAGGGCUGGAAACGGAAUUAACUCUGUAAAACUAAAUACAUCACACUCCACUUCCUGAAGUACUGUUUAGUGCUAUAAUUUGCUUUUGUAAGCCUUCUUACAAACAAAAACACACACACACACACACACAUACACACACACACACAUACACACACACACACACACGCACACACACACUCACACACACAACUAUUAAAGGAGAAUUAAUGAAGGUGUAGUAACACCAAUUAGUGAUGGCCCAGUAUGGCCAUGGCACUCAAACUGAAACUAGCACAGGAGUAUAUAUAUUUAGAUUUGUGUGUGUGUGUGUGCAUGUGUGUAUUGUGUUGUGUGUGUGUAUGUGUAUAUGUAUAUACAUAUAAAUGUGUGUGCAUAUAUAUAUAUAUAUAUAUAUAUACACAUAUGUAUAUAUAUACAUAUAUACAUAUAUAUAUAUAUAUACAUAUAUAUUUACACAUACAUACAUACAAAUUUAUGUACAUGUAUUUAUAUAUAUAUAUAUACAUAUUAUAUAUUUACAUAUAUAGAUAUAUAGACAUGUGUGUGAGUAUAUAUAUAUAUAUAUAUAUUAUGCGUAUAUACACACACAUACAUACAUACAUACUUAUAUUAUUUUUUAAUUAAUAAGAAUUAAUGUUGAAAGUAACUUCAAAGUUUAGGCCAGCUCAUCCUUUACCAGGCUAUAUAUUACUUUAUCUCAACUUUAAAACAAUCCUUAAUAUACAUGUUUACAUAUACAUGCACACAUGUGUGUAUAUGGAGGGCUUCUUUCAGUUUCCGUCUGUCAAGUUUCCUCCCAAGGCUUGUAGAAGAAGUAUCAUGCAGUGAAACUAAAUCAGAUACCCCAUGUGGCUGAAAAGCAGACAUCUUAAUCAUACAGACAUAAUACAUACAUAUUGUGUACUUAUAUAUGUGCAUAUAUAUAUAUAUAUAUAUAUAUAUAUAUAUAUAUACAUAUGAAUACACCAUAUAUCUAUGUUUGUAUGCAUAUAUGCACACACAUACAUAGAAACAUGCACACACACACAUAUAUGUAAGUGUUUUAUAUAAAUAUAUAUAUAUAUUUAUAUAUAUAUAUAUAUAUAUAAAACACUGAAUAUUUUAUAUAAUAAAUUACAAAUGAACUUAUAUAUAUAUAUAUAUGUGUGUGUGUAUUUGUAUAUAUGUGUGUGUAUGUACGUAUAUGUAUAAAUGUAUAUGUGUGUGUGUAUUAGUAUCCCUUUGUAUUGCCAUCAUGUUAAAUUUGUGAGUCAUUUUUUUAAGAUCUUCUAUAGAAAGCUAUCUAGCUGCGGGGUUAUAUAUUACCUUACUUGGAAACAGGUGAAGGUAGGCGACGGCAAAUGCAUCAGCUGUGGAUAAUUUGCCUGAAUAAAGUUUGGUUGGCCCAUGCAUACAUGGAGUCUGGGUGCUAAAAUGAUGAUGAUCAUGAUGGUCAUGUUGAUGUCGUGUAUAUGUCUAGGAAAAUUGAUAGAUAGAUAGAUUGAUAGAUAGAUAGAUAAGUUUCUUUAUUGGCCACACAGGGCUGCACACAGAUGGGACAAGUUACAAGGUAGAGCUUUUCUUUUGGGGGAGGAAAAAAAGAAAAAAAGGUGGCGUAGGUUUUCGAUCAAAAGGGAUCAUAAAAAGGAAAAAAGAACAAAAAAUAUAGAUAGACAGAUAGAUAGAUAAAUAGGUAGAUAGAUAGAUAGAUAGAUAGAUAGAUAGGUAGAAAUGGAUUGAUAGAUAAGCACACAUGCAAACACAAGCAGAUAUAUGUAGACACUUGCAUGCACACACACACACACAUAUACAGAUAUAACCCACAAAGCAAUUUUUAAGGGUUUUACACCUUUCAUUCAGUUUAGUUAAUUUUAAUUGUGUAUAUUUUUUUGUAUACAUAAACUGGUGUAUACAGUAAACGGAUGUACAUGCAUGUGUUUUUAUAAAUGUAUAUACGUUUAUAUUUUUGGUAAUGCAUGCACAUAUGUAUGUUCAUAUGAGUGCAUAUAUUCAUGCAUAUAUGUGCAUGUAUAGAUGCAUGCAUUUAUACAUGUGUUUAUCUUUGCGUGUUUCUAUUUAUGCAUUCACCACGUGUGCGUGUAGAUAUAUAUAUAUAUAUAUAUAUAUAUAUAUAUAUUUAUAUACAUACAUCAUCAUCAUCAUCGUUUAACGUCCGCUUUCCAUGCUAGCAUGGGUUGGACGGUUCAACUGGGGUCUGGCAAGCCCGAAGGCUACACCAGGCCAGUCAGAUCUGGCAGUGUUUCUAUAUAUAUAUAUAUAUAUAUAUAUAUAUAGAUAGAUAGAUAGAUAGAUAGAUAGAUAGAUAGAUAGAUAGAUAGAUAGAUAGAUAGAGAGAUAGAGAGAUAGAUUGAAAUGAAUGUGCGUAUUCAUGCACACACUUACAUUUAUAUACAAAUGCAUGCCAACUCACAUAUUCAAAUAUAUAUGCGUGUGCAUAUAUAUAUAUGUAUAUAUAUGUAAGAAAUAUAUGCAUGUAUCUAUGAUACCUUUAAUUCAUAUGACCAUAUACAUAUAUGUGUGUGUGUGCAUAUGUCUAUGUAUGUAUUAAAUGUAUUAUAGACAUCUGCAUAUAUAUACACACACACAUCAUCAUCAUUAUCGUUUAACGUCUGCUUUCCAUGCUAGCAUGGGUUGGACCAUGCAGACAUAUAUAUAUAUAUAUAUAUAUAUAUAACAAUAUGUAUGAUAUAUAUAUACACACACACACACACAAUAUAUAUAUAUAUAUAUAUAUAUAUAUAUAUAUAUAUAUAUAUAUAUAUAUAUAUAAUAAAUGGAGAGAGAGAGAGAGAGAGGGAGACAGACAGACAGAUAGAUAGAUAGAUAGAUAUAUAGAUAUUAUAUGGUGCUCCUGCAUGACCACAGCCACGUGGCUGAAAUGAAGGAAAGUAUAUAAAUAUAUGAAGACAUUGUAUUAAUAUUGGUACACAUGCACGUCACAUCCACACAUCUUUAGAUAUCUUGUUAUAUAUAUACUUACAUCUAUAUAUAUUUAUACAUAUGUAUAUAUAUAUAUAUAUAUGUGUGUGUAUAUAUAUAGACACACACGCACAGACAGAUAGAUACAUACAUACAUACUUACAUAUAUAUCUAUCUAUAUAAUAUAUCUAUAUCUCCCCCUAUCCCACUCUCUCUCUGUAUAUGUGUAUAUAUAUAUAUACAUAUAUAUGUAUUUAUAUAUAUGUAUGUAUGUAUGUAUGUAUGUAUGUAUAUAUUUAUGUAUAUAUAUAUAUAUAUGUGUGUGUGUUUGAAUGUGUAAAUAUGUACGUGUUUGUCCAAUUUCACUUUUGCAUUCACUUCUACCAAACAUUAUCUUAGUGCAUUUCUUUGUUUAUAUUCAUUCCGCAUAUUGUUUGUUUUAUCUUCUUCCCAGUAUAUUGUCCCUUUCUCUUUACCAAACACCAUUUCUUUCUUUCCUCCCCGUAUCUCAUUUCAUCCUAUAACACCUUCUGUUGUCUCAGACUUUUUGCUUAUAUGUUUUGCUCUCUCUCUAUAUAUUUCAUUAACAUUUUCCCUUAAUUGGUUAUUUCUAUGUUUCCCUUUCAUUCAUUACUGAAACAUUUUUUUUAAUUAUAUUUCUUCAAUUUUAACCUUUUAAAAAUGUAUAUCAUAAUUUCAAUCCUCAUUUCUUUCAUAAUUUAACUCUCUAUCAAUGUUCUUCAAACAUUUUGAAAUUUUAAAAAUUCUUUCAAACUUCACUUAAGUUUUUUUUUAAUUUUUGCAACCAUUUAAAAAAAUAUUAUUUAUUCGUGUUUUUUCCUUUUCCUGAUUUGUUCUGAUAUUUUAUUUGCUUUACAUCCUGAAAGUAACAAAAUAACAUGUUGUUACCUUUUUAUUUAGUUACAGACUCACUGACUCACACACACGCACAUAUGCAUGCACACACACACACAUGCACAUAAACUUAUGUAUUUAUGUAUAUUAAGAAUUUAGUUUAUACUAAUAUUUGAUUCCACUUCACAUUGUUUACUUUCCAUUUUAAUUUUUAACUUAUCUUUAUUUUCAAUUGUUUUCUUUCUUUCAUAACAUCCUGCAUAAUAUUCUACAAUUCUCAUUAUUUUUCUUUACUUAAAAUUAAUUCUUCCAAAUUAUUCUGUCAGUAUAUUUCUUUUCUAUAUAUAUUUUUCUCUUGUUUAUUCCUUAAAAUUCUUCAUUUCCUUUUCAUUCAUUCCUUUUCCUUCAUUAAAUUCCUUGAUUUCUUUUUCCUCACAUAUUUACUCUUUCUUUGACCAACUCUAUCUGUCCUUUCUAAUUGUACCAUUUUUUAUACCCUAUAUCAAGUAACUAGUCCAAAUUGGUUUAACACAAUACUAACCCUCUUUCGUUUAAUUUUUCUUCACUUUGUACUAAAAGCCUCCUAAGUUUAGCUUAAUAAUUCCAUCUAUAUCUUAACAUUUCAAUAUAUUAACCAGUUAUAUGCUGGGGAUUCAUUUAUAUAGCACUCUGCCCCUAAAUAUUUUAGGCUUUACAUAAAAUAAUAGAUUUUCACUCUAUUUCAUUCAAUUUAUUCUUUCAUCAUUCAUUAAUCCUUUAUUUUGUUUUGUAAGUCUUUCAUUCUUCUUCAUUCGAAUUCCAUUCUUUUUUCCUUGUUAUGUAUAAUUUUUAGAUUUUCCGUAUUUUCUCCAACACUCUCCCACUUUUUGCUCCUAUUUUUCCAAUCUUUUUUUCUUCUUAUUCCUUAUUCUUCUGCAUUCUUCUACCCAAACUUCUUCAUUUCUUUCAUAUUUCAUUUAUUUUAUUAUAUAUUAUUUUUCAACUUUCUAUUAGUCUUUCCAUACUUUCAGUUUAGAGUUCCCUUUGAUUUUCUCCUUCCUUUGUUUAUUACCAUUCUUUCUGUUUCUGGUUUUUUCUAUUGCCUUUAUUCUUGGAAAUCUUCAUUCUACCUUCAUUUUUCUACCUUCAUUUCUUUAUAUUUUCCUUGCUUAUUCGAGUUAUACCUGAACCAUUUCAAUAUCUAUUUCAGUUAUUAAGUUUUAUUUUGUCUCAUUUUUCAUCUCACUCAAUCACUCUGUCCUUCUGAUAUGUACACAGAACACAAUUGCUAAUACAUACACAUACACACACGCACACACACACAUUUACAUACAUAUAUGUAUGUAUCCACACAGAGUUGAAAAUAUAUUCAUAAAUCUUGUAUUUCUUUCAUCCAGCCUCAUAAUAUUUUCUUCCUAUUAUUUCACACAACUCUUGCCUAAAUUUUCCUUCACUUCUUACUGUUUCUUUUCUUUCCUUCUUUCUCCCCUUAUUUUCUUCCUCCUUUCUACUUUGAUUUUCCUGUAGCUUAUUCUUUUCUCCUUCCUUCUUUGGUCAGCUAUUCUUCCUGUGUUUACCAUUUCCUUCCUUCCUUUUGAUGUUGUUUCCACAGACACAACUUAUUCAUUUCUUCAUUCCUUAAUUUUUUCUUUCAUUCCUUUAAUCUGAGAUAUUUUCUUUGCAUUCUUUCCAAAUUAAUAAUUUAUUUUUCUCUUUAAUAUUUCUUUCAAUCUCAUUCAUAUGCAUUCACUCACAUACUCAUAUGAUAUAUAUAUAUAUAUAUAUAUAUAUUAUAUAUUAUAUACACACAUGUGCAUACAUCUCAAGAACUCAUAAUUUUUCUUCAUGCUCAUUCUUAAUUUUGUUUAUUCUAAUACAUUAUUUAAUGCAUUCAUUCUUUCUUUGUACAUUAUUUCUUUUGUCAUAUUCUAUCUCUUCUUAAUUCUUUCCAUGAAAAAAAACCUCCUCCUUUAUUUUUUCUUUCUUUCUUUCUUCUUCAAACUUUCAUUCCUUCAUUGUAAAUUACAAUAUUGUUCUUUAGCUAAUAUUUCUUUCAAAUAAAUAUUUUACUCUUAUCUUCCAAUUAAUUUAAUUUUGUUUCUUUUUCACCUAUAAAUUAUUCACAAUUUUAAAAGUUUUCCUAUAGUCUAGUUAUAGUUUUAUUACAUUUUCUAUAGUUUAUCUUCAUUUUCCUAAAUUUUACAAAAUUUACUAGUUUUAUUAAUAUCAUUUUACAAUUUUACAUUGAUUUCUAUAAUUUUAUACCUUAUAUUUUUAUAGUAUUAUAUUUUCAUUACAUUUUUCUUUGCAUUUCAUAUUUUACAAGAAAUUGUCUGUAGUUUUCCUGUAGUCUUUCUACAGUUUCUUAAAUUUUAUAUUUAUUUUAGUUGUGAUUAUUUGUAUAUCUCACUGAAAAUGUUUUCUUCCUGUUCUCACCAGAAGGAAAUUUGAGCUUUAAACUUACAAUUUCUGACUUCACUUAAUAAAGAUCCAAGAGCAUAGUUAAGAUGAUUUAUAUGACAAAAAUCUAACACCAGUACAAGAUCCGAAAACCCAGUUUUCAACUACAACAUUAAUAAUAGUAACCACACUAAUGGUUUCUGAUUUGGGUACAAGGAGAGCAAUUUUCAAGGGUGGGGAUUAGCUGAUAACAUGAACACCAGUACAUAACUGGUACUUUAUUUCAUCAACCCUGAAAUAAUGGAAGGCAUAGAUGAAGUCAGUGUAAUUUGAACCCAGAAUGUAAAGAAACAGGGCAUUUCCUGAUUCUCUAACAAGUCAAUAUUUUGAAGCAGGGUUAAAUAGCCUGAUUCCCUGAUGCCCUUCUUAAUGUUCAUCUUUUUUGGUUGCUUCCUACAUCAUGCAGGGAUAAAAGAAAAUCAAGGUACACAGGUAUGAGACAUAUUUAACUACCUGUAAAAAUAGGGUGGCUGAUAUACUGCUUGGUUUUGUACCUAUGCCAGAAGUGAUUAUUGUCAUUAUUCUUGUUAGUUUUGAUAAUAAUAACAAUAGCAAUGGCAAUAGUAGUGAUAUUUGAUAUUAGCACAAGACAUUUUGUAUGAAGAUGAAAUGCCCAGUAUAUGACUGCUACUUUUUGUCUUGAGAAAAUAAAAGUCAAAGUUCAUUUAAGCAGCAUUUAAAAUAAUGAUGUUGAUGAUGAUGAUGAUGAUGAUGAUGAUGAUGAUGAUGAUGAUGAUAAUAGUAAUAAUAAUAAUAAUAAUAAUUUUAAAAAUUAUAAUAAUAAUAAUAAUAAUAAUAAUAAUGAUAAUAAUAAUAAUAAUAAUAAUAAUAAUAAUAAUAAUAAUAAUAAUAAUAAUAAUAAUAAUAAUAAUAAUAAUAAUAAUAAUAAUAAUAAUAAUAAUAAUAAUAAUAAUAAUAAUAAUGAUAAUAAUAAUAAUAAUAAUAAUGAAAAUAAUAAUAAUGAUAAUAAUAAUAAAAAUAAUAAUAAUAAUAAUAAUAAUAAUAACUACAAGAACAACAAUAUUAGUGGAAGUUUUGGCAAUAUAUUCUGGAUCUCUGUCCUGCUAUCUUUCUUUCAUUUUACCUUCCAUUCUUAGAUUCCUAAAUUCUUUCAGAUUUCUUCUCAUACAACAACACUACCAUCAAUAACAACAUCUCUCUCUCUCUCUCUCUCUCUCUCAUUCUUUCACUCAUCUCCCUUUUCUCUAACUCCAAUUUUUAAACAUUCCUUAUCAUUACAGUUUCCUUUCUUUUUCUCAAAAAUCCUUCAAUCAUCAUGUUAUUUCACUUCGUUUGCCUUUCAUUCACAGAUUUAUAUUUUUCUGAUAUAUUCUCUGUAGCUUACUUGCAUGUGUAAAUAUGUGUGUGUGUAAGUGUGUAUGUGUAUGUAUAUAUAUAUGCACACACCUAUGCAAAAAAAAACACACAAAUACAUAGAUGUAUAUACAUGCACACACACACACACACACACAUAUUCCAUCAGUGUUCUCUUUCUUCCAUUCAUGUUUUCCUUCUGUAUCGCAAUCACAAAAUUCUGUGGUCUUAUUCUUUAUUUUUAAAAUUUAAUUUACCAUUCCAAAGAAUUAUUUCUUCCUUUUUUUCUCUUUCAUUUACCUUCUCUUUGUACCUACAUAUUCCAGUUUUCCUCUUUAAUUCUUCAUAGAAAUAAAACAAACUUUUUCUCUCAAAGUUUUUCAUAAUCUUCAGCAAAAAUAUUUUUUUAAAUCAUGCAUUUAAAUAAUUUUAAAAUCUUCUUUCUAAGACAUUUCUGCCGUUCUUCAGUUUACUCCCUUCUAUUGUAAAAUUUUUUGCUUCUAUUCAUUCAUUCAUAAUGUACCUUCAGUUUCCAGGUUUAGGGCACAUUCUGCAUGGUUAACCUACUUUUGUUGUUUCCCUUUGAUUGUAGAUGUGCUUUGAGGGUAUAAGGAAAGAUAUGCAUGCUCCAGGCUGUUGUACAUAUGCUAUAUAUGUUAUCUAUGUUAUAUAUGUCUACUAUCAUAGAUAUAUUUAUACACACAUGUUCAUGAGUAUGAUAGAUACAGAGAAUGAUAUAUGUAUUCAUAUAUAGAUGCAUAUAUGUCUGUGUGUGUAUAUAUGAAUAUAUUUAUAUACCAAAUAUGUAUAAAUAUAUAAAAAAUAAUAUCUAACAUACUAUAACACACACACAUGCAUUUAUAUGUACAUAUGUAUGUGGUUGAGUGUGUGUGUAUAUAUAUAUAUAUAUACAUAUAUAUACGUAUAUAUCUAUAUGUGUGUAUAUAUAUAUACAUUUAUAUGUAUUUUUGUAUGUAUACAUGUAUAUAUGUAUGAAUAAAUCUAAACUAUAAAAGUGUUUGCAAUGUAUAUCUGUAUCUGUCUCUCUACAUACUGACAUGUAUACAUAUAUGCAUGCACAACAUCCGCACACGCCCUACACACACACAUACAAGCACACGCACAUAUGUGUAUGUAUGUAUAUAAGUAUGUAUGUAUAUAUAUAUAGUGAUAGAUAGAUAUAUACAUGCAUAUAUACAUACAUAUAUACAUACAUUUAUACAUAUAUACAUAUAUAUAUAUAUAUGCAUAUAUAUUUAUACAGACAAAUGCACAUAGGUACAGACAUGUAUGUGUAUGUAUGAGUGUGUGUAUGUAUGAGUGUGUGUGUGUGUAUGAGUGUGUGUGUGUAUGAGUGUGUGUGUUUGUGUGUCCACUCUUACACACACACUUAUAGAUACCUAGUUUGUUGCAUAUAUUUACUUCAUAAAUUUUCUAUGAUUUUAUAUUCAAUUUCCUGAGGUUUAUGGGGCAAUGGACAUACAUAAAAUACCAUACAUGUUAUACACAAACACAUUUAUUUAUGUGUAUCUAUCUAUCUAUCUAUCUGUCUGUCACUCUGUCUGUCUGU
rnacentral:lncRNA from 1 species